rnacentral:rRNA from 1 species
UAGGGAAUCUUCGGCAAUGGACGAAAGUCUGACCGAGCAACGCCGCGUGAGUGAAGAAGGUUUUCGGAUCGUAAAACUCUGUUGUUAGAGAAGAACAAGGACGUUAGUAACUGAACGUCCCCUGACGGUAUCUAACCAGAAAGCCACGGCUAACUACGUGCCAGCAGCCGCGGUAAUACGUAGGUGGCAAGCGUUGUCCGGAUUUAUUGGGCGUAAAGCGAGCGCAGGCGGUUUCUUAAGUCUGAUGUGAAAGCCCCCGGCUCAACCGGGGAGGGUCAUUGGAAACUGGGAGACUUGAGUGCAUGAGAGGAGAGUGGAAUUCCAUGUGUAGCGGUGAAAUGCGUAGAUAUAUGGAGGAACACCAGUGGCGAAGGCGGCUCUCUGGUCUGUAACUGACGCUGAGGCUCGAAAGCGUGGGGAGCAAACAGG